rnacentral:sRNA from 1 species
GCCAGGUGUGGUGACACAUGCCUGUAAUCCCAGCAGCUCGGGAGGCUGAGGCAGGAGGAUCACAAGUUCAAGGCCAGCCUCAGCAACUUAUCGAGGUCUAAGCAACUGCUUAGAUCCUGUCUCUA